rnacentral:precursor_RNA from 15 species
GUCCGUUUCAUGCUGAAGGCUGUGUCGUUUAGGUCGUGUCUUGUGCAACUUGUGGUUUUUUCAUUAGUCAAAUUGCACUUGUCCCGGCCUGCAAGGCACAGUCACGCCAUCUCUAAUAUUAA